rnacentral:rRNA from 1 species
UGGGGAAUAUUGCACAAUGGGCGCAAGCCUGAUGCAGCCAUGCCGCGUGUGUGAAGAAGGCCUUCGGGUUGUAAAGCACUUUCAGCGGGGAGGAAGGCGAUAAGGUUAAUAACCUUGUCGAUUGACGUUACCCGCAGAAGAAGCACCGGCUAACUCCGUGCCAGCAGCCGCGGUAAUACGGAGGGUGCAAGCGUUAAUCGGAAUUACUGGGCGUAAAGCGCACGCAGGCGGUCUGUCAAGUCGGAUGUGAAAUCCCCGGGCUCAACCUGGGAACUGCAUUCGAAACUGGCAGGCUAGAGUCUUGUAGAGGGGGGUAGAAUUCCAGGUGUAGCGGUGAAAUGCGUAGAGAUCUGGAGGAAUACCGGUGGCGAGGGCGGCCCCCUGGACAAAGACUGACGCUCAGGUGCGAAAGCGUGGGGAGCAAACAGG